rnacentral:rRNA from 1 species
AAUCAACGCUGGCGGCGUGCCUAACACAUGCAAGUCGAACGCGAAAGUCCCGCAAGGGAUAAGUAGAGUGGCAAACGGGUGAGUAACACGUGGGUGACCUGCCUUCGAGUGGGGGAUAACGUCCCGAAAGGGACGCUAAUACCGCAUGACAUCCUGCUUUUGAACAGGUGGAGAUCAAAGCUGGGGAUCGCAAGACCUAGCGCUUGAAGAGGGGCCCGCGCCUGAUUAGCUAGUUGGUGAGGUAAUGGCUCACCAAGGCUGCGAUCUGUAGCUGGUCUGAGAGGACGGCCAGCCACACUGGCACUGACACACGGGCCAGACUCCUACGGGAGGCAGCAGUGGGGAAUCUUGCGCAAUGGGCGAAAGCCUGACGCAGCGACGCCGCGUGAGGGAUGACGGCC